GACGAACGCUGGCGGCGUGCUUAACACAUGCAAGUCGAACGGAGUGGCGAACGGGUGGGUAACACGUGGGUGAUCUGCCUUGCGCUUCGGGAUAAGCUUGGGAAACUGGGUCUAAUACCGGAUAGUGCAAGAUGAGCUCGCGGCCUAUCAGCUUGUUGGUGGGGUAAUGGCCUACGAAGGCGUCGACGGGUAGCCGGCCUGGGAGGGUGUACGGCAAAAUUGGGACUGAGAGACGGCCCAGACUCCUAAGGGAGGCAGCAGUGGGGAAUAGUGCACAAGGGGCGGAAGCCUGAUGCAGAGACGCCGCGGGGGGGAUGAAGGCUUUCGGGUUGUAAACUCCUUUCGACAGGGACGCGGUACCUGUAUAAGAAGCACCGGCUAACUACGUGCCAGCAGCCGCGGUAAUUC
rnacentral:rRNA from 1 species